rnacentral:rRNA from 1 species
GAUGAACGCUGGCGGCGUGCCUAAUACAUGCAAGUCGAGCGAACAGACGAGGAGCUUGCUCCUCUGACGUUAGCGGCGGACGGGUGAGUAACACGUGGAUAACCUACCUAUAAGACUGGGAUAACUUCGGGAAACCGGAGCUAAUACCGGAUAAUAUAUUGAACCGCAUGGUUCAAUAGUGAAAGACGGUUUUGCUGUCACUUAUAGAUGGAUCCGCGCCGCAUUAGCUAGUUGGUAAGGUAACGGCUUACCAAGGCAACGAUGCGUAGCCGACCUGAGAGGGUGAUCGGCCACACUGGAACUGAGACACGGUCCGGACCCCUACGGGAGGCAGCAGUAGGGAAUCUUCCGCAAUGGGCGAAAGCCUGACGGAGCAACGCCGCGUGAGUGAUGAAGGUCUUCGGAUCGUAAAACUCUGUUAUUAGGGAAGAACAAAUGUGUAAGUAACUAUGCACGUCUUGACGGUACCUAAUCAGAAAGCCACGGCUAACUACGUG